rnacentral:rRNA from 1 species
UGCGUAGGUGGUUUCUUAAGUCAGAGGUGAAAGGCUACGGCUCAACCGUAGUAAGCCUUUGAAACUGGGAAACUUGAGUGCAGGAGAGGAGAGUGGAAUUCCUAGUGUAGCGGUGAAAUGCGUAGAUAUUAGGAGGAACACCAGUUGCGAAGGCGGCUCUCUGGACUGUAACUGACACUGAGGCACCCGAAAGCGUGGGGAGCAAACA